CGGACGUCUUCGGCGUUCGA
rnacentral:snRNA from 1 species